rnacentral:rRNA from 1 species
UACGGGAGGCAGCAGUGGGGAAUAUUGCACAAUGGGCGCAAGCCUGAUGCAGCCAUGCCGCGUGUAUGAAAAGGCCUUCGGGUUGUAAAGUACUUUCAGUCGUGAGGAAGGUGUUAAGGUUAAUAACCUUAGCAAUUGACGUUAGCGACAGAAGAAGCACCGGCUAACUCCGUGCCAGCAGCCGCGGUAAUACGGAGGGUGCGAGCGUUAAUCGGAAUUACUGGGCGUAAAGGGCACGCAGGCGGUUAAUUAAGUUGGAUGUGAAAUCCCCGGGCUUAACCUGGGAAUGGCAUUCAAGACUGGUUAGCUAGAGUCUUGUAGAGGGGGUAGAAUUCCAUGUGUAGCGGUGAAAUGCGUAGAGAUGUGGAGGAAUACCGGUGGCGAAGGCGGCCCCUGGGACAAAGACUGACGCUCAUGUGCGAAAAGCGUGGGGAGCAAAAC